GAGAGCCGGAUGCGGUAAUUCUGCAAGUCCGGUUCUGAUGAGGGGCCUAAUUGAGCAAUUGGUUAGGUCUACUCACAU
rnacentral:ncRNA from 1 species